AGUGCCUAAAUUUAAUCCGAAAAAUAAAAUGACAUUUUUCUGAAACAAUUUAUCCAAUCAGGUGUGGAGGGAUGGGGGUGGUUUGGCACGUGACUUCUCCAUCGUCGGGUAUAUAAAGUGAAAAAGACACUUUCACAACCAGAACACAACGCAACAAUCAAUUAUCAAAGAUGAAGUUUUCGGUACUUCAUCUUUUUGCAUUGGUGGCCUACUGUGUGGCCGCCGUCAAGGUACAGGAGAAGAUUACAUUGAA